rnacentral:rRNA from 1 species
GACGAACGCUGGCGGCGUGCUUAACACAUGCAAGUCGAACGGUAAGGCCCUUCGGGGUACACGAGUGGCGAACGGGUGAGUAACACGUGGGUGAUCUGCCCUGCACUUCGGGAUAAGCCUGGGAAACUGGGUCUAAUACCGGAUCGGACCACUGCAUGCAGGGGUGGGGGUGGAAAGCUCUUGCGGUGUGGGAUGGGGCCGGGGCGUAUCAGCUUGUUGGUGGGGUGUUGGCCUUCCAAGGCGACGACGGGGAGGCGGCCUGAGAGGGUGACCGGCCACACUGGGACUGAGAUACGGCCCAGACUCCUACGGGAGGCAGCAGUGGGGAAUAUUGCACAAUGGUCGCAAGCCUGAUGCAGCGACGCCGCGUGAGGGAUGACGGCCUUCGGGUUGUAAACCUCUUUCAGCACCGACGAAGCGCAAGUGACGGUAGGUGCAGAAGAAGGACCGGCCAACUACGUGCCAGCCGCCGCCGUAA